rnacentral:rRNA from 1 species
AGAGUUUGAUCCUGGCUCAGAACAAACGCUGGCGGCGUGCCUAACACAUGCAAGUCGUACGUGAAAGUCCCGCAAGGGACAAGUAAAGUGGCGACCGGGUGAGUAAUACAUAGGUAACCUACUUAUAAGUUGGGAAUAACAGUUCGAAAGGACUGCUAAUACCGAAUAUUAUAUUAUAACACAAGUUGUAAUAUCAAAGAUGGCCUCUUUACAAUGCUAUCGCUUAUAAAUGGGCUUAUGAACCAUUAGCUAGUUGGUGGAGUAAUAGCCUACCAAGGCAAUGAUGGUUAGCUGGUCUGAGAGGAUGAUCAGCCACACUGGAACUGAAACACGGUCCAGACUCCUACGGGAGGCAGCAGUGGGGAAUAUUGCGCAAUGGGGGAAACCCUGACGCAGCAACGCCGCGUGAGCGAUGAAGGCCUUCGGGUUGUAAAGCUCUGUCAGAUGGGAAGAGACCCCAUUACUCUAUACAGUUAUUGGAUUGACGGGUACCAUCAAAGGAAGCACCGGCUAACUCGUGCCAGCACCGCGGUAUACGGAGGUGCAAGCGUUGUUCGGAAUCACUGGCGUAAGGGCGCGUAGCGUAUAUAGUAGGUGUGAACUUCGGCUUACCGAAGUGCC